CCACUGGCAUAGGGAAUGCAGCACUCAUUUUAUAAAGCUCUCGAGCCUGGAGGAGGCAUAUCGCUUUAAAUAAAGGUGCACGUAUGUACAGCCCCACAUAGGCCGAGGGGGCAGAGGACGGAGAACAGCCCAUCACAGAAACCUUGGGUGGCCAGCUCCCCGCCAUGCACUGGUGCCCCCAGUCCUCUGCAGGGCUGUUCCACGGCUCCACCUUCUCAGCUGCCCUUCCUCGCACGGCCUGGUCUCCCCGCAGUCUGAGUGAGGACAACCCGGCACUGGGAGGGUUGCAUGAAGGGGGCACAGGCCAGCUCCGCUCACUCGCUGGUAUUUGCUCUGGAAAUUAUAGAUGAAGUCUUUGCUGACUCAGGCUGUUGUGUGUUGGGAUGGUGUUCUCUUUCACAGAGGAAUAAGGGUGAGUUUCUCAGCACGCUAGGAAAUACAAGGAUCAGUAGCCGGAACCCUCCGCCUGUGAUUGGCCUCUGUGUUUCUGAGUGUGAAGGCUCCGGGUGGGGCCCGGCUCCGGGACCCGGUGCUGGAGGAUUCCUCCGGAAGCCAGUCCGCCACUGAGCCUGGGGCUGGCUUCUCAGUGAGAAUGAAGUCCCAGGAGCAGGGACGGCACCCACGCUGCUAUGAAGCUGCCUCCUGGUGAUAAGUCCGGGAUGGACGGUUUCCAGACCGCUUUCCUCCUGCUCUGCCCAGGUUAAAUGCGGCCCCGGAAGGAGGCGUCCUUGAAGACAAAAACAAAAGAACGAGCUGCGGGAGGACAGAGCGUCCCGCAUCCUCCCCCCGCGGCCAGGGCCGGCGGGAGGCACCGGCAGCUGGCAGCCCGCCGCCCCGGGUGCUCGCUCCGUGCCUCCCCCGCGGUUUCUAACCAACCGGGUCCCCAUCACACGCGUCAUCGUCAGAAAACAAGCGGAGAAACAAGGGUUCGUCAUGCAGUGCCAGGAAGUCCAUUCUGCCGACCUCCGACCUCGCCGCCGACACUUGGCUAUUGAUUCUCCAUACAGAGCGGCGGCGUGGCCCCAGGCGCGGGGUCAGCGGGCCCCAGGCCCCCCCUCAUCCGGCGGCCCCCCGGGUCCUUGAGCAUUAAGACCGCAAAUGUCCACAGUUAACGGCGUGUCACAGGCAGCGGGCGGACAUGCCAAUUUCCUAAUGAAGCCGGGCUAUUGGCAAACACAGCAGCCCCGGUAGAUGGCAGGGGGCCCCUUCCAUGCAUUCCCGGCACCUCCGUGCCCCGAAAGACCCGGUGACAUGACUGCCGCAGGGCCAGGCCUCAGGGAGGGGCCCCACGCCCCGCCAGACAAACACACACCAGUGCGGAGCGGGAGCCGCCGUGGGGCUGGCGGCGGAGGAGGCCUCCGAGAUAGUCCUGCCCCUGGAGCGCGAGGAGAGAAUAUUCUGAAUAAAAGCAGUGGCUCCGAUGCCCACGUUCUCCCCCAAAACAAGGGGCCUGGGGAUGGCCCGCUCCCCGCGCAGGAGAAUCGCUGUUAUCGCUGUCAGUGGUGAAGGCAGAAGGUGCCCCGUGGGUCCGCCCCCGCGUGGCUGCCUCCACUCAUCGGCCGUGACGUGCAAACCGGGGGGGCUCACCCCCGAUGCUCCCCAGCCCCUCCAACACCCCAGCCUCCCGGUCCGCUCCUACGGUCCCUCGCCACCCCCUCCCAGUAAUAAAUUACGGCUGCCAUCUUGUAUUGAUUAUUGAAAAUGUUAUGUCCGUGGAAAGAAAAUGCCAUUGCUUUAAAUAUCAACAUUACCGGGGAUGUUAACGUUAUUCUUUUUAUUUAUUUAUUUUUUUUUUUACAGAGACGUGUGUGAUAAAAAUGUUGAAGCGAUGGGAAGGAGCUGGUGGUGGGGGAGCGGAAUGAUUAAAUAACCAAAAAAAAAUUUUUUUUAAAUCAAUGCUUCCUUCGGCCUGGCCAGACGCACGUUUCUUGGCUCAGGGUCUCUAACAGGAACAUCUACCGGGGGCGGAGCACUCGACGGGAGACAGGAAAGCGAGGAGGGCGCUGCUGGCUGACGGACCUAACGCACACGCCGAGGGCAGGGGAGGCCCGGCCGGCGCCCCCCAAACCCUGACGGAAACCAGUCACUUCCCAGGCUCCUCCACGAGGCCCAGCCUCCCGCCACCACAGCCCCUGGACCCGCCGACGGCUGGGGCUUGUUCACCUCGCCCCUGGAACGGACGCUUUGGAAGUGGUGCGCUUUGUUUUUUGUCGUGUUUACAAAGCCCCUCCUGUCUGUGUGAGCGUGACUCCUGCUGCCGUUUGCAGAAUGUCUGCCCGCGGACGCUGAGCGCCCGGGGAGGAAGCGCGGGCCCGUCGGGCGGGUCUCGCCACGGGUUUGGCACUCGCACGCGCAGGAUGGGAAGGUCAUUCCAGUUUACAAAGUACAGACGCGCUGCAGCGCCCGGCCACCCCAGAAAUGCUCCACAAGGAAACGGGCCGUUGUGCGCGCCCCCCCCCCCCAAAACCUCUGGGACCCGAGGGGAGCGUGGGGGAGGGGGGGCGGCAGGAGGCAGCAGGAUCGGCUGCAGUGAGGGACCCGGCAGGCACCAGGUUUGUGCUUGAGUGUUUGCGUGUGUGCAUGUGACUGUGUGUGUGUAUGUGGGGGGGGGGGUGAGAGACGGGGUGUGUGUGUGUGUGUGUGUGUGUGUGUGUGUGAGUGUGAGUGUGUGUAUGUGUGUGUUACACUGUGCGUUUCCAGAUGAGAUCGGGCUAGCCGUGGUGGUGCAUGCCUGCGGUCAAACAGCACAAGGGGUCUUUAAAUGAGUCCACUUUUAAGGCAUCAGAGAAGUCCAUGUGGCAGACAGUUUAAUUAAAACAUCAGAAGUAAAUUUUAUUUUAAACUUUAGGCCUCUGAAUUUUUCCAGUAAACACAGUUCAGCUAUGUGGCAAAAGUCAUGGGUGGCAGCUAAAAUGACUUUUUUUUUUUUACAUUCUACC